rnacentral:rRNA from 1 species
GGACUACUGGGGUAUCUAAUCCUGUUUGCUCCCCACGCUUUCGCAUCUCAGCGUCAGCAAGAAGCCAGCGAGUCGCCUUCGCCACUGGUGUUCCUCCGAAUAUCUACGAAUUUCACCUCUACACUCGGAAUUCCACUCGCCUCUCUUCUGCUCCAGGCCGCCAGUUUUGAAGGCAAUUCCGGAGUUGAGCUCCGGGCUUUCACCCCCAACUUAACGGCCCGCCUACAUGCGCUUUACGCCCAGUAAAUCCGAACAACGCUAGCCCCCUUCGUAUUACCGCGGCUGCUGGCAC